rnacentral:lncRNA from 1 species
GGAAAAAAAUUUUAUUUUUUCAGCCACACUUAUUUGGUUGAAAGAAAAAGUUUGAAUGAAAAGUAACUUUAUAGAAUUUUCGUCUAUUAUAUAUUAUGUAUUAUUUAUAUUAAUAAAUAUUAUAUUAUAUAUUAUAAUUAAAAUUUACAUCUAUAUAUAUUAUUAUUGUCAUCAUCAUCGAUAUUUAUAGUUUAAAUAUAUUUAAAAUUAUAUUAUAUACUAUAUACUAUAUAAUAUAAUAAUAUGGUGUCACGAAAGGUUAGCUGUCGGAACGACUACAGUAUUAAUGACUAGUCGAUAUAUCUAUAGAGUGUUGGGAUGAGUCGGAAUUGUUUUGAUACGAAAUAGAUGUGAAAACAAACUCGGUGGUGCACUUAAAUAAGCCAAAACUGAAGUUCUUGAUAGUCUUCUGGUACCCAGAUGUUGAAACCAGGCGCCUA